rnacentral:rRNA from 1 species
UACGUAGGGGGCGAGCGUUGUCCGGAAUCAUUGGGCGUAAAGAGCGUGUAGGCGCUUGGCAAGUCUGACGUGAAAGCCCGCGGCUCAACCGCGGAUUGUCGUUGGAAACUGCCUCGCUAGAGUCCGAGAGGAGAGCGGAAUUCCUGGUGUAGCGGUGGAAUGCGCAGAUGAUCAGGAAGAACACCCUGUCGGCGAAGGCGGACUCUCGUGGACGGUACUGACGCUGGGACGCGAAAGCGUGGGAGCGAACAGGAUAGAUACCCGUGGUAG